rnacentral:rRNA from 1 species
GUGGGGAAUUUUGGACAAUGGGCGCAAGCCUGAUCCAGCCAUGCCGCGUGCAGGAAGACGCAUCUAUGGUGUGUAAACUGCUUUUGUACGGGAAGGAACACUCCCUCGUGAGGGAGCUUGACGGUACCGUAAGAAUAAGGAUCGGCUAACUCCGUGCCAGCAGCCGCGGUAAUACGGAGGAUCCAAGCGUUAUCCGGAAUCAUUGGGUUUAAAGGGUCCGUAGGCGGUUUAAUAAGUCAGUGGUGAAAGCCCAUCGCUCAACGAUGGAACGGCCAUUGAUACUGUUAGACUUGAAUUACAAGGAAGUAACUAGAAUAUGUAGUGUAGCGGUGAAAUGCUUAGAUAUUACAUGGAAUACCAAUUGCGAAGGCAGGUUACUACUUGUGGAUUGACGCUGAUGGACGAAAGCGUGGGGAGCGAACAGGAUUAGAUACCCGGGUAGUCC